rnacentral:rRNA from 1 species
UGAGGAAUAUUGGGCAAUGCCCGCAAGGGUGACCCAGCAACGCCGCGUGGAGGAUGAAUGUCGUAAGAUUGUAAACUCCUGUUAGAGGGGAAGAAUAGUACCGGUUGGACCGGUAUAUGACUGUACCCUCAGAGAAAGCCCCGGCUAACUACGUGCCACCAGCCGCGGUAAUACGUAGGAUCCGAGCGUUAUCCGGAUUUAUUGGGUUUAAAGGGUGCGCAGGCGGGAUGUUAAGUCGGCGGUGAAAUUUUGCAGCUCAACUGUAAAAGUGCCUUCGAUACUGGCUUCCUUGAGUGUGGAUGAAGUUGGCGGAAUUUGUGGUGUAGCGGUGAAAUGCUUAGAUAUCACGAGGAACUCCGAUUGCGCAGGCAGCUUACUAAACUACAACUGACGCUCAUGCACGAAGGCGUGGGGAUCAAAC